CUCAACGGUUUGUGUAGCCAUAAAUCUUAUUUUGUAUUCAGUGAGAUCUGUUGACUUUGUAUAUCAUUCCGCUGUAAAUAAACGAUCUUAUCAUAGAUCCAUUGUGAUCUUGAAAUUAUAUUUAUAUUUAUAUUAUUUAUAUUUAUAUUUAUAUUUAUAUAUAUUAUUUAUAUAAUUAUAUAAUAAUGGAAACAGCAACUUUAGUCGCCAUCUCUAUAUCUGGUUUACUUGUAAGUUUUACUGGGUACGCCUUAUAUACUGCCUUUGGGCAACCCUCUCAACAAUUAAGGGAUCCAUUCGAGGAACACGGGGACUAAUUGAAAUAAUGAAAAAUCAUUUCAUUUUUUUAGUUGGAACUUUAGGCGGUUCUCGAAAAAAGAUAGCGAAAAAAAUUAUCCCUAGAGUAGAUACUAAGAGGAAUGUAUAAACCAAUGCUUCCAUAAAUUCGAUCGUGGUUUACAAUUAUAGCUUCCG